AACGAGAAGAACCUUACCAAAUCUUGACAUCCUUUGACAACUCUAGAGAUAGAGCCUUCCCCUUCGGGGGACAAAGUGACAGGUGGUGCAUGGUUGUCGUCAGCUCGUGUCGUGAGAUGUUGGGUUAAGUCCCGCAACGAGCGCAACCCUUAAGCUUAGUUGCCAUCAUUAAGUUGGGCACUCUAAGUUGACUGCCGGUGACAAACCGGAGGAAGGUGGGGAUGACGUCAAAUCAUCAUGCCCCUUAUGAUUUGGGCUACACACGUGCUACAAUGGACAAUACAAAGGGCAGCGAAACCGCGAGGUCAAGCAAAUCCCAUAAAGUUGUUCUCAGUUCGGAUUGUAGUCUGCAACUCGACUACAUGAAGCUGGAAUCGCUAGUAAUCGUAGAGCAGCAUGCUACGGUAUU
rnacentral:rRNA from 1 species